CCUACGGGCGGCAGCAGUGGGGGAUAUUGCACAAUGGGGGAAACCCUGAUGCAGCGACGCCGCGUGUGGGAAGACGGUCCUCUGGAUUGUAAACCACUGUCCCCAGGGACGAAGAUGACGGUACCUGGGGAGGAAGCUCCGGCUAACUACGUGCCAGCAGCCGCGGUAAUACGUAGGGAGCGAGCGUUGUCCGGAAUUACUGGGGGAAAAGGGAGCGUAGGCGGGACUGCAAGUUGGGUGUCAAAUCUACCGGCUCAACCGGUAGCCGCACUCAAAACUGCAGUUCUUGAGUGAAGUAGAGGCAGGCGGAAUUCCGAGUGUAGCGGUGAAAUGCGUAGAUAUUAGGAGGAACACCAGUGGCGAAGGCGGCCUGCUGGGCUUUUACUGACGCUGAGGCUCGAAAGUGUGGGGAGCAAACAGGAUUAGAUACCCCUGUAGUC
rnacentral:rRNA from 1 species